rnacentral:misc_RNA from 1 species
AACGCACCUUGCACUCUUUGGUAUUCCGAAGAGUAUGUCUGUUUGAGUGUCAUGAAACUCUCAACCCCCUUGUUUUGUAAUGAAACUAGUGCGGGCUUGGAUUAUGGCUGUUGCCGGCGUAAUUGUCGACUCGGCUGAAACACACGAGCUACCCGAUUUCUAAGAAAUAGACGGUUUGACUCGGCGUAAUAACAUAUUUCGCUGAGGACGUCACAUUCUUAAUAUUCAGUGGUGCUUCUAAUGCGACAUCUAAACUUUAGCUUUAGACCUCAAAUCAGUCAGGACUACCCGCUGAACUUAA